CGGGGUGUAGCGCAGUUGGUAGCGUGCUACGUUCGGGACGUAGAGGUCGCCCGUUCGAAUCGGGUCACCCCGACCA
rnacentral:tRNA from 1 species